AGCAUCGCCACGGUAAUACGAAGGGGGCUAGCGUUGUUCGGAUUUACUGGGCGUAAAGGGUGCGUAGGCGGACUGAUAAGUCAGGGGUGAAAUCCCAAGGCUCAACCUUGGAACUGCCUUUGAUACUGUUAGUCUUGAGUUCGAGAGAGGUGAGUGGAACUGCGAGUGUAGAGGUGAAAUUCGUAGAUAUUCGCAAGAACACCAGUGGCGAAGGCGGCUCACUGGCUCGAAACUGACGCUGAGGCACGAAAGCGUGGGGAGCAAAUGGGAUUAGAUACCCCAGUAGUCCCUGUCUCUUAUACA
rnacentral:rRNA from 1 species